rnacentral:sRNA from 1 species
GCUACGGCCAUUCCGGGGCAUUAACCCACACAUGCAUCGACACGAUGGCCUGGGUGCCCUGCGACACAGUCGAAGGGUUGGCCGUUGGGAUGCAUGGAGGCCUAACC